rnacentral:rRNA from 1 species
CCUACGGGUGGCAGCAGUAGGGAAUAUUGCUCAAUGGGGGAAACCCUGAAGCAGCAACGCCGCGUGGAGGAUGAAGGUUUUCGGAUUGUAAACUCCUUUUGUUAGAGAAGAUAAUGACGGUAUCUAACGAAUAAGCCCCGGCUAACUCCGUGCCAGCAGCCGCGGUAAUACGGAGGGUGCAAGCGUUACUCGGAAUCACUGGGCGUAAAGAGCGCGUAGGCGGGAUAGCAAGUCAGAUGUGAAAUCCUAGGGCUUAACCAUAGAACUGCAUUGGAAACUGUUAUUCUAGAGUAUGGGAGAGGUAGGUGGAAUUCUUGGUGUAGGGGUAAAAUCCGUAGAGAUCAAGAGGAAUACUCAUGGCGAAGGCGACCUGCUAGAACAUAACUGACGCUGAUGCGCGAAAGCGUGGGGAGCAAACAGGAUUAGAUACCCCGGUAGUC